GUGCUUGCUUCGGCAGCACAUAUACUGAAAUUGGAGCAAUACAGAGAGGAUUAGCAUGGCUCCUGCUCAAGGAUGACACCCAACUUUGUGAAAUGUUCCAUACUUUA